GAUGAACGCUGGCGGCGUGCCUAAUACAUGCAAGUCGAGCGAACGGACGAGAAGCUUGCUUCUCUGAUGUUAGCGGCGGACGGGUGAGUAACACGUGGAUAACCUACCUAUAAGACUGGGAUAACUUCGGGAAACCGGAGCUAAUACCGGAUAAUAUUUUGAACCGCAUGGUUCAAAAGUGAAAGACGGUCUUGCUGUCACUUAUAGAUGGAUCCGCGCUGCAUUAGCUAGUUGGUAAGGUAACGGCUUACCAAGGCAACGAUGCAUAGCCGACCUGAGAGGUUGAUCGGCCACCCUGGAACUGAGACACGGUCCAGACUCCUACGGGAGGCAGCAGUAGGGAAUCUUCCGCAAUGGGCGAAAGCCUGACGGAGCAACGCCGCGUGAGUGAUGAAGGUCUUCGGAUCGUAAAACUCUGUUAUUAGGGAAGAACAUAUGUGUAAGUAACUGUGCACAUCUUGACGGUACCUAAUCAGAAAGCCACGGCUAACUACGUG
rnacentral:rRNA from 1 species